GGAAGUGAGGGCGAUCUGGCUGCAACAUCUGUCACCCCAUUGAUCGCCAGGGUUGAUUUGGCUGAUGUGGCUGGCUAGGCGGGUGUUCCCUUCCUCCCUCACCACUCCAUGUGAGUCCCUCCUGAAGCUGCGCAGUUGAUAAAAGAGGACGACCCUCCCGGAUAGAGGAGGAUCAUUCUUGGGUCAAGGGUGUACAAGUAGCUGCACUCCCCUGUUAGAACCUCCAAACAAGCUCAAAGAGAAAACGCAGAUUGCCUGCAUUGUAACAAAAAUUAGGACUCAGUUUU
ensembl:misc_RNA 7SK 7SK RNA